UCCAACAUGAGAGAGACAACUUGUAGAUGUGAUGUGAGCAACUUGUCUGAAAGUUGGAAGUCUUCUGUUAACUGUGCCAAGAGAAAUCUGUUCGUGGAUAAAUGUUACUUUAUAUGAAUUCACUUGCCACAUGCCAAAGUAUUUCCAA